UACGAAGGGGGCUAGCGUUGCUCGGAAUCACUGGGCGUAAAGCGCACGUAGGCGGACUCUUAAGUCGGUGGUGAAAUCCUGGAGCUCAACUCCAGAACUGCCUUCGAUACUGAGAGUCUCGAGUCCGAGAGAGGUGAGUGGAACUGCGGAGUGUAGAGGUGAAAUUCGUAGAUAUUCGCAAGAACACCAGUGGCGAAGGCGGACUCACUGGCCCGGUACUGACGCUGAGGUG
rnacentral:rRNA from 1 species